rnacentral:rRNA from 1 species
AGAGUUUGAUCCUGGCUCAGGAUGAACGCUGGCGGCGUGCCUAACACAUGCAAGUCGAGCGUGAUUGUUAUGAGUGGCGGCUUCGGUCAAAGCGAGUAACAUGAAAGCGGCGGACGGGUGAGUAACGCGUGGGCAACCUGCCCCAUACACGAGGAUAGCCACUGGAAACGGUGAUUAAUACUCGAUAAGACCACACUGCCACAUGGUAGAGCGGCCAAAGAUUUAUCGGUAUGGGAUGGGCCCGCGUCUGAUUAGCUAGUUGGUGAGGUAACGGCUCACCAAGGCGACGAUCAGUAACCGACCUGAGAGGGCGGACGGUCACACUGGAACUGAGACACGGUCCAGACUCCUACGGGAGGCAGCAGUGGGGAAUAUUGCACAAUGGGCGAAAGCCUGACGCAGCAACGCCGCGUGCGGGAUGAAGGCUCUCGGGUCGUAAACCGCUUUCAGCAGGGAUGAAACUGACAGUACCUGCAGAAGAAGCCCCGGCUAAAUACGUGCCAGCAGCCGCGGUAAUACGUAUGGGGCAAGCGUUAUCCGGAUUCAUUGGGCGUAAAGAGCGCGUAGGCGGAUUGUUAAGCGCGAUGUGAAAACUGGGGGCUCAACCCGCAGCCUGCAUCGCGAACUGGCAGUCUUGAGUCUGGUAGAGGAGUGUGGAAUUCCCAGUGUAGCGGUGAAAUGCGCAGAUAUUGGGAGGAACACCAGUGGCGAAGGCGGCACUCUGGGCCACGACUGACGCUGAGGCGCGAAAGCUAGGGGAGCAAACAGGAUUAGAUACCCUGGUAGUCC